rnacentral:lncRNA from 1 species
UUUUGUUGUAUGUGUUUUUUUGAUCUUGUGUUGAUUGAUGUUGAUGGACAGCAAAGUUAAAUUAUAAAAAUUCGUUCUUUAUGUUUUUUUUUGGGUUUUAUUCCUCUGGCAUCAAAGGUUUAAGAUUUUCAAUCGUAGAAAUUAGGGCUGCUUGUUUGGCAGUACUCUUAUCAUGCUAUUAGGGAAUGUGGCAUAUUUUUGGAUUUUAUUUUUAUCUUGCAAAGAGUAUAAGAUGAUCCCCUCUUGCAAGCUAGAUUGUGUGAUGUUUAUGAUUUUGUCAAAGGUUUAAGCUGGCUUCUAGUUAGGGAUAUGGUAUUUAACAUAUGUGACGCAUAGAUGUGACGAAAAAAUUACACAAAAUCUCACACCCAUCUAGUUUAGAUGACACAAAAAAUGUGACAGAGAAUAGUUUAGGUUUUGUGUGACGUGAAAGGGAGAAACAUGAACACGAGCAUACAUUGAUCUACCGUCUGUUUCUUCUUUGACUUAUGCUAACGCGGAAGUCAAAGAGAGCGUGAUCGUGUGAGGGCUCAGGCGAGGGCUGGGCAGAAGCCCAGGAACCCGAAGGAUGAUGGAUUGACCCCGGAACAGAGACGAGAGAGGUUUGAUAUGCAAACUCUUGUCUGAGAUUGAUUUGAUGGCAUUGUUGUUGGUUGUGACAUUGGUGUGUGGUGUCUGAUUUGCAGGGACGCAAAGGCAUUGCAAGAAAAGGAGGCGAAGAAGGCAGCAGCAGCAGGAGGGAAGGCAAGUGCAGAUCAUACUAAAAAUCACAAUAAGAAAUAGAUGGUGUUUGAUUCAUCUGCUUCUUUGAGGGGUGGUAUUGAUGGAUCAGAUGUGGUUUUAGCUUUGUUGUUGUUCAUUUCUGGAACUGAAUAUUUCGUGUAAUCUCCUUGUAUCUGAUUUUAUCAAUGCAAUCGCCUUUUAGUGUGUCAAAUAUUGUUUCUUGAUUGCUGGAUGCUUGGUGUGGUGUAUCGUGCAUUGAUAAAAUGAAAUAUGAGACUGAAACAUGAAUCUGAAUGGUUUAUCAUGUAUUGAUACAAUGAAAUACGAGAUUGAAACAUAUGAUACCUGACACCGAAUAGUGGGCUGGCACGAUUCAUAAAAUGAAAUAUGAGACUGAAACAUGUGCAUGGAUAAAUUGAAAUAUGCGACCCAAACACGAUACUGA